rnacentral:misc_RNA from 1 species
AUUUUAUGAAUUGAAGUAAAUGAAGGGAAGUAACGAAUUUUUGGAAGUGAUUAGCCAAGGGGUUAAACUCCCUAAUCAUCUCAAAAGAAACUGAAAUUGUAUAUAGAAAGUAUUGUUUAAAAAACGAAACAAAGAAAGAUAGAAACCCAGAACAAAUGUUCUUCAACCACCGAUCUCAUCUAAUUUUAAACUCAUCUCCAAAUAAAGAAAAUUCAGCUCUUUCUUGGCUUAGAACAACAAUUGAACAAGAAAUAAACAUCUUACAGCUUCGGAUUCACUUUGCGAAA